rnacentral:rRNA from 1 species
GAAUCUUGCGCAAUGGGCGAAAGCCUGACGCAGCCAUGCCGCGUGUAUGAUGAAGGUCUUAGGAUUGUAAAAUACUUUCACCGGGGAAGAUAAUGACGGUACCCGGAGAAGAAGCCCCGGCUAACUUCGUGCCAGCAGCCGCGGUAAUACGAAGGGGGCUAGCGUUGCUCGGAAUUACUGGGCGUAAAGGGCGCGUAGGCGGACAGUUUAGUCAGAGGUGAAAGCCCAGGGCUCAACCUUGGAAUAGCCUUUGAUACUGGCUGUCUUGAGUUCGGGAGAGGUGAGUGGAAUGCCGAGUGUAGAGGUGAAAUUCGUAGAUAUUCGGCGGAACACCAGUGGCGAAGGCGACUCACUGGCCCGAUACUGACGCUGAGGCGCGAAAGCGUGGGGAGCAAACAGG